rnacentral:rRNA from 1 species
UAGUCGCAUGUUUUUUCAAAAACAUGUCCUCUUGAUUAUAUUUUGAGGUCUGUCCUGCUCACUGAUAUAAUUUAAGAGCCGCGGUAUUUUGACCGUGCAAAGGUAGCAUAAUCAUUAGUCUUUUAAUUAAGGGCUAGAAUGAAUGGUUUGACGAGAAAUCAACUGUCUCUUAAUAAUUAUUAUAAUUUAACUUUUAAGUCAAAAGGCUUAAAUUUUUCUUUAGGACGAGAAGACCCUAUAGAGCUUAACAUUAAUGAUUUGUAUGUAUAUUUUGGAUGAUCUUUUUAUAUUUUAUUAUAAUGUUUUGUUGGGGUGACAUGAAGAAUUAAUAAACUCUUCAUUUUAAAAUCAUUGAUUUAUGUAUAUUUUGAUCCAUAAUUUAUGAUCAAAAGAUUAAGUUACCUUAGGGAUAACAGCGUAAUUGUUUUUUAGAGCUCUUAUCAACAAAACAGAUUGCGACCUCGAUGUUGGAUUAAGAAAAAUUUUGGGUGCAGUAGCUCAUUAAUUAGGUCUUUUCGACCCCUA